rnacentral:rRNA from 1 species
CCUACGGGUGGCUGCAGUAGGGAAUAUUGGGCAAUGGAGGCAACUCUGACCCAGCCAUGCCGCGUGCAGGAUGAAGGCCUCUGGGUUGUAAACUGCUUUUAUCUAGGAAGCGGUACUAGGUGAAUAAGCACCGGCUAACUCCGUGCCAGCAGCCGCGGUAAUACGGAGGGUGCAAGCGUUGUCCGGAUUUAUUGGGUUUAAAGGGUGCGUAGGCGGCUUAGUAAGUCCGUGGUGAAAGCCAACAGCUCAACUGUUGAACUGCCAUGGAUACUGCUAGGCUUGAGUACAGACGAGGUAGGCGGAAUGGAUAGUGUAGCGGUGAAAUGCAUAGAUACUAUCCAGAACACCGAUUGCGUAGGCAGCUUACUAGGCUGUACUGACGCUGAGGCACGAAAGCGUGGGGAGCGAACAGGAUUAGAUACCCCUGUAGUC